UUUUUUUUUGAUUUUAUGAUGAGUGGUGCAUGGCCGAUCUUAGUUCGUGGAAUGAUUUGUCUACUUAAUUGUGUUAACGAACGAGACCUUUAGAGAUAAAUAGUGAUUUUUGGAAGGUGUCAAAGCAAUUGAAAUGUCUUUAGAAGAAGGGCAUGUUUCCCCUUUUAAAUGUCAUCAUUUUAAUUGUAUCUUUCAUUGCUGAUCAAAAGAAAAAGGGGAAAGUAUAGAUGUAAAAGUUUGUAUUUUUCUUUUUUAAUUUAUAAUACUUCUUAUUUCGACUAUUGGUGUAAAACCAAUGUAAGUUAAAGGUAAUAUCAGGUCUGUGAUGCCCUUAGAUGUUCUGGGCCACACGCGUGUUACAAUGGUAAAGAUCAAAGGGUAUUUAUUGAAUAGAAAGAGG
rnacentral:rRNA from 1 species